GGUCCCGUAGCUCAGCAGGAUAGAGCAUCAGAUUCCUAAUCUGGGGUCGCGCGUUCGAAUCGCGCCGGGAUCACCA
rnacentral:tRNA from 1 species